AGCACCUGAAAAUAUGGAAGUGAAUCCAAUAGAAAACUUAGUCAUUUUUUUGAAAAGUGGCCCUGCUCCCACUGAGCUUUGUGGCAAGAUAUUUGUUAUGUAGCUCCCAGGACCUUCCUCCACUGCUGGCAAAGCUUAAGAGAGCCAAUCAAAGUAAUCAUUCAAUUUUCAAGAAACUGUAAUGAAAAUAAAAAAAGAAGAAGAAGAAAACAAAGCCAAAGGGGUAUCACACACAGUGGAGCUCUCUGCUGGGAUGAAAGCUAUGGGUGGGUCUUUCCCUUAGACAUUCCUGCAGUUGGCCUUGGACCAACUCUCUGUAGACACCUGGUUGACAGAACCAGUGUACCAAUUAUUCUUGGUGUGCAGUGUGGUCUUCUUUUCCAGAAAGACGUCCUUGAAGAGUGGCAUCACAUAACUACAUGUGCUUUGCCUAAUCAAGGAGCAUCAUUUUAUCCAGACGACAAUGUGACUGAACUCAGAGAAUGAGGGUCUGCCAAGAAAGGCAAUGGAAUAAAGAAGGAUUGAUGUGUGCUGUUCCAUGGGAGAGUCAUAGCCAGCAGUGAUCAGAACAGAUACACCAGACUUUAGCCACAGCUCAUCCCAUUGGCUUGCAGUUCAAAUCAGAGCUUUCUGCAUCUCUACUGCUGUGUCUAUCAGGACAGACCCCUUUGAUGCUUCAAGACUGACCCCUCAGAUGCUUCCAGCUUCAUCAUAAGCCCACUGCUCCUGAAGGCCUCCAUCUCUCACCCUGCUGCCCUCCGAGAGUCCAGCACUCUGACUCACAUGUAGUGUAAAGAGUCAGCAAGCUGAUUAGUGAAUAGUCGCGAGAUUAGUCACAGUGUCAGAGUUCAGAGAAUGAAGGUCCAGUGCAGGAAGUAUGUGGCCACUCUACAGUGGCUCAGAAGCUGUUUAGCACACACAGAAGGAGGAUAAAAUAAUUCUCUGUUUCCCUGGAUGCCUCUUUUCAAAACGAGAGAUAUUUAGGCUUCAGGAAGAGAGUACUCUCUGUACAUGAGAACAGAGUGGUAGUGGUUCAAACUGAGUUAUGAAUUGGACUAGUAGGUAUUGCAGAAUUUUCCCUGUCCAAUUACGUUAGUACAGGAUUGCCUGUGAUUGGACAGGGAAAAGGGAGGUGGAGCUAAGAGUUGAGAGACAGGCGUGUUCUCAGUAAGCGGAAGAAGAAGAUCGUGCACCCGCUUGGCUCUUACCAGCCACAAGUAACUACAAUUUCAUAAGAUUGCCAUGAAGACUUCUGAAACUGACGAGAAAUCAAAAUUCCUGUCUGAGGACUUCUCCCUGUGUGAGGAAGUCUAACUGAAUUGGUCAUGCAGUCUGCAUAGUGAUCCCUUAGGUAUUUAUGGAGGACAUGCUUUGUAAUAAGCUCGGGAGAUAGAACAUCCUUUCCCACGGGGGACACGCACAUCAGUGAAGAAGAUUGGCCUAUGAAGGCCUAUCACACAGGCAUAUGAGUGUUGUAAUAAAAGUGAAUGAUAGCAAAGUGGAUGCAGACAGGAGACACACCCCAGUUACUAACGUCUUGGAUAACAGAUUGGUGCUUAAAAAAAGAAGCCAGAAUGUCAUAGAUGAAGAAAUCGCCUGCACUUCUACUCCUCCUAGCUAAAAAUCUAACAAAGAUCUAGAUCCCAAAGCAUUUACUCUGGUGGGCACCAUAGCGCAGAUUCCGUCUGAUUGGUAACGAGAGUGAGCAGAGUUACGUAGUCUCCCCAAUGGUGCAGAAUUAUUUUAUAAUUAGAGUGUUUUCCUUCACUCCAUCAAAAGGCUGCGGGAGUUAUGAAAGAUGAUAGAAAACUAAUAUUUUUUCUAGUUUCAACUGUCAUAUGUUUCUCCCACCUCACCCCCCCCCCCCGUGGUAUGUAAGUAAAUUCAACUUUUUGUGCAAUGAAGUAGUAAGAACCAUGCUUGUGUUACAGGAGAACAGGUGACUCCUUUGAGGUCGUGAUUGGGCUUGCCUGUUCAUUAUGUUGUCCAUCAGUGGACUAGGAAUUAGCCACAAUUAGUCACUGUGUGCAUUUGUCACACUGACUGAGUUAGAAAAAGUGGGGUUUUUUUGUUUUGUUUUUUGUUUUUUAAAAAAAUACAUUUGUUUUGGGAUGGGAAAGGUUUUUGCAAAGCUCUCCCAUUCUGUUCUGUCUAAAACCAGAUCGAGUUAUUUUGUUACAGUUAUUUAAUGUGUAAAUGAUAUCACUAUACAUAAAGUAUGUCUUUUAAAAACAAUGCUUUCUUUCAAAAUAGUGAUUGCUCAUAUUCAUGGUGUUCACAGCUAUGUUAAAUGAGGAAAUCUGGUGUUCAUACUUUGUUUUCCUGACUGUUUCUGAAAGGAGAUGGGAACUUGCAGAUGCUGGUGGGGACUCUGUAAAGAACAAUGGUUUUCUCUGGGCUGAGUCCAACCCCACCUUUGUCAGUAACUGGGUGAACAUGAUUGUUCUACUUAGCCUCUCUGUCGGUCCAUUUCCUGGACAACACGGUAAGGAUAAUAAAAUCUGCUUCAGAAAGACAAAAGUGAAUUAAAGACAGGACUCUGCAGACGUGCCGGCCUAGUGUUUAGUGAGUACUGGCUUGUCUUCUGUAUGACACUGGUUAUAGAGCAGUGACAGGUCAGGAAGACCUGAACUGGAUUGGUCAAGACUUGGAGGCUCAGGAUGAUCCAGUCCUGGCGGCACCCAGUUUUUGUGAGUUUUACUUGGGGAAACCUAACCAAUUUGUCACAGAAAAUGCUGGUGGUAACCACCUCACUCUGCAAGCAGGGGAGGGAAAACAGCUAUUUUUGAAAUAGUCAUCAGUUUCUAAUAAAGUCUGCCUUCAGGAGAAGCGAGAAAAACAGCGCAUAACCUGCUGGGAUUUUAUCACGGCUCACAAGAUAUGGGAAGAAGUGACCAGCUCUGGCAGAUCUAGGCUCUCAUAUGGAGUUCAGAUGUAGAUCUCAUACGUUAGUUCACUCCAGCCGUCCUGUCCUCUGACAGAGAGAGAAAGAUUCUGAGGUCACAUAUGCCAUUUACAGGCCAGAGGCAAUAGCUCACUAAUACAUACAGAAUUCGCGGGAUUAUAAGCAUGCUGUCUUCCAUGUACAUACUUCAGUUCCUUUUACUCAUUACAGCAUGUCUGGCCUUGAAGAAAAUGACCACAAAGCUUACUGAGAGUCAAGAAACAAUGGGAAGAGAUUGGGGAGCAUCAGAGCCGUAUGCAGCCUCCUUAUCAGACAAAAAGUUUGUUUUAUUAAAAAAAUUUUUCACAUA